UACGAGUGCCUCAAGCGUUAUCCGGAAUUAUUGGGCGUAAAGGGUGUGUAGGUGGUUGUGUUAGUCUCUUGUCAAAUUCUUCGGCUUAACCGGGGGCUCGCGAGAGAAACGGCACAACUUGAGGAUGCGAGAGGUGUACAGAACUCUAGGUGUAGGGGUGAAAUCCGUUGAUAUCUAGGGGAAUACCAAAAGCGAAGGCAGUACACUGGCGCACUCCUGACACUGAAACACGAAAGCGUGGGUAGCGAAUGGG
rnacentral:rRNA from 1 species